rnacentral:lncRNA from 1 species
CCUACUUAAUUUGUUUGCAAAAUUUUGCAUGUGUGUAUUUAUGCAUUUUCCUGCAAAGAUGGUUCAUAAGAAAAUUACAGAACUUUUAAAAAAUUGGAAUAACACUUAGCAUAACACUAGUAGCAGUAUUUUCUUUUAAUUUAAGAAAAUGUUCUUAAACUUCCUAAUACUUCCUUGAUUUUCAAGUUCUUCAGAUGCCUGAAAAUAAAAAGGUGCUAAUGGUCCUGAUGUGCUCUAAGAGAUCAAAAGCCAUGCUACUAAAUAAAGUAAGGAAUUACCCAGAAAAUCAGCAAGAUCCGGAUCUUGUCAUAUACUUCUGCACCUAGCAUAAUGAACCUUAUGGAAGAUAUCUUGGUAUUUUAGCUUUAGGCGAAGUUAUAUAUUCUGUUAAGAAAUGGUCAAAGAAAAAGGAUAUCCCACAUUUCUACUCGUUGUACCUUUUUACCUAUACUUUCUAUUUAUCACUUAAAGGCAAUUAAUCUUUACCUGUAAGCAAAAAUGGGUUCAAAGGGCUUCUACAUCUUUCUAAUUGCCACAUCAUGUAGUAUUCAUUAGCUGAUUCUUCAGCAGUAAGCAAAUUACUGAAAAAAAGAGUUAAAGUUUAAUACAUUAAUAAUAUUGAGUCUUUU